UACGUAGGGGGCAAGCGUUAUUCGGAAUUAUUGGGCGUAAAGGGCGCGUAGGCGGCUUGGCAAGUGGAUGGUGAAAUCCCUCGGCUUAACCGAGGAACUGCCAUCCAGACUGCUUUGCUUGAGGCCGGGAGAGGUGAGUGGAAUUCCCAGUGUAGCGGGUGAAAUGCGUAGAUAUUGGGAGGAACACCAGUGGCGAAGGCGGCUCACUGGACCGGUUCGUGACGCUGAUGCGCGAAAGCGUGGGGAGCAAACGGG
rnacentral:rRNA from 1 species